rnacentral:rRNA from 1 species
GUGUCAGCAGCCGCGGUAAUACAGAGGGUGCGAGCGUUAAUCGGAUUUACUGGGCGUAAAGCGUGCGUAGGUGGCUAAUUAAGUCAAAUGUGAAAUCCCCGAGCUUAACUUGGGAAUUGCAUUCGAUACUGGUUAGCUAGAGUAUGGGAGAGGAUGGUAGAAUUCCAGGUGUAGCGGUGAAAUGCGUAGAGAUCUGGAGGAAUACCGAUGGCGAAGGCAGCCAUCUGGCCUAAUACUGACACUGAGGUGCGAAAGCAUGGGGAGCAAACAGGAUUAGAUACCCUCGUAGUCC